rnacentral:rRNA from 1 species
AGAGUUUGAUCAUGGCUCAGAACGAACGCUGGCGGCGUGGAUAAGACAUGCAAGUCGAGCGAGACUUUUUCUAGUAGCAAUACCGGGAAAAGUUUAGCGGCGAACGGGUGCUUAACACGUGGGCAACCUGCCGUGAAGUGGGGGAUAGCUCGCCGAAAGGCGAAUUAAUACCGCAUGUGAUUAGAGAGGACAUCCUUUCGAAAUUAAAGUCGGGGCAACCUGACGCUUCUUGUGGGGCCCGCGGCCUAUCAGCUAGUUGGUGAGGUAACGGCUCACCAAGGCUUUGACGGGUAGCUGGUCUGAGAGGACGACCAGCCACACUGGGACUGAGACACGGCCCAGACACCUACGGGUGGCAGCAGUCGAGAAUUUUUGACAAUGGGGGAAACCCUGAUCGAGCGACGCCGCGUGGAGGAUGAAGGUCUUCGGAUUGUAAACUCCUGUCAUUGGGGAACAAGGUGCAUACGUUAACUGCGUGUGUAUUGAUAGUACCCGAAGAGGAAGGGACGGCUAACUCUGUGCCAGCAGCCGCGGUAAUACAGAGGUCCCAAGCGUUGUUCGGAUUCAUUGGGCGUAAAGGGUGCGUAGGCGGCGCGGUAAGUCGGGUGUGAAAUCUCGGAGCUUAACUCCGAAACUGCAUUCGAUACUGCCGUGCUUGAGGACUGGAGAGGAGACUGGAAUUUACGGUGUAGCGGUGAAAUGCGUAGAUAUCGUAAGGAAGACCAGUGGCGAAGGCGGGUCUCUGGACAGUUCCUGACGCUGAGGCACGAAGGCCAGGGGAGCAAACGGGAUUAGAUACCCUAGUAGUCC